rnacentral:rRNA from 1 species
UACGGGGGGAGCAAGCGUUGUUCGGAUUUACUGGGCGUAAAGGGCGCGUAGGCGGCGCAACAAGUCACUUGUGAAAUCUCCGGGCUUAACCCGGAGCGGCCAAGUGAUACUGUCGUGCUAGAGUGCGGAAGGGGCUACUGGAAUUCUCGGUGUAGCGGUGAAAUGCGUAGAUAUCGAGAGGAACACCUGCGGCGAAGGCGGCGCUCUGGGCCGGAACUGACGCUGAGGAGCGAAAGCGUGGGUAGCAAACAGG